CCGUGGACAACACGGAGGAAGGUGGGGAUGACGUCAAAUCAUCAUGCCCCUUAUGAUCUGGGCUACACACGUGCUACAAUGGCCGGUACAACGGGCAGCGAAGGAGCGAUCCGGAGCGAAUCCUAAAAAGCCGGUCCCAGUUCGGAUUGCAGGCUGAAACUCGCCCACAUGAAGUUGGAGUUGCUAGUAAUCGCGAAUCAGAAUGUCGCGGUGAAUGCGUUCCCGGGUCUU
rnacentral:rRNA from 1 species